rnacentral:rRNA from 1 species
UACGCCGGUCACUUGACGCAGAAGUAUAACCCAGGCUUGAAGCUAAGCAGGGCUGAGCCUGGUCAAUACCUGAAUGGUAGACCACAUGGGAAAACUAGGUUGCUGUUGAAA